rnacentral:rRNA from 1 species
AACGAACGCUGGCGGCAUGCCUAACACAUGCAAGUCGAACGAGACCUUCGGGUCUAGUGGCGCACGGGUGCGUAACGCGUGGGAACCUGCCCUUAGGUUCGGCAUAACUCCCCGAAAGGGGUGCUAAUACCGGAUAAUGUCUUCGGCCCAAAGAUUUAUCGCCUUUGGAUGGGCCCGCGUUGGAUUAGCUAGUUGGUAGGGUAAAAGCCUACCAAGGCGACGAUCCAUAGCUGGUCUGAGAGGAUGAUCAGCCACACUGGGACUGAGACACGGCCCAGACUCUUACGGGAGGCAGCAGUGGGGAAUAUUGGACAAUGGGCGAAAGCCUGAUCCAGCAAUGCCGCGUGAGUGAUGAAGGCCUUAGGGUUGUAAAGCUCUUUUACCCGGGAUGAUAAUGACAGUACCGGGAGAAUAAGCUCCGGCUAACUACGUG